rnacentral:rRNA from 1 species
AGUGAACGCUGGCGGUAGGCCUAACACAUGCAAGUCGAACGGCAGCACAGUAAUAGCUUGCUCUUACUGGUGGCGAGUGGCGGACGGGUGAGGAAUACAUCGGAAACUACUUUUUCGUGGGGGAUAACGUAGGGAAACUUACGCUAAUACCGCAUACUACCUACUUGUGAAAGCAGGGGAUCUUCGGACCUUGCGCGAUUGAAUGAGCCGAUGUCGGAUUAGCUAGGUGGCGGGGUAAAGGCCCACCAAGGCGACGAUCCGUAGCUGGUCUGAGAGGAUGGUCAGCCACACUGGAACUGAGACGCGGUCCAGACUACUACGGGAGGCAGCAGUGGGGAAUAUUGGACAAUGGGCGCAAGCCUGAUCCAGCCAUACCGAGUGGGUGAAGAAGGCCUUCGGGUUGUAAAGCCCUUUUGUUGGGAAAGAAAAGCAGCAGGUUAAUCCCCCGCUGUUCUGACGGUACCCAAAGAAUAAGCACCGGCUAACUUCGUG